rnacentral:rRNA from 1 species
UACGUAGGUGGCGAGCGUUGUCCGGAUUUACUGGGCGUAAAGCGCGCGCAGGCGGCUGGCCAAGUCCGAUGUGAAAUCUUCUGGCUUAACUGGAAAACGGCAUCGGAUACUGGUCGGCUGGAAGGUGGGAGAGGGUAGCGGAAUUCCCGGUGUAGUGGUGAAAUGCGUAGAUAUCGGGAGGAACACCAGUGGCGAAAGCGGCUACCUGGCCCACUCUUGACGCUGAGGCGCGAAAGCUAGGGGAGCAAACGGG